AGGCGCCGAGAGCGAGCGAGGGCUGUGAGGACUGCCAGCAUGCUGUCACCUCUCAGUAUAAUUUAAGAUCAACCCUAAUUGAAAAUACUAUAUUUUGAAGGGUCACGUUUCUCUUUAGAUUACACACAGUGUCUUGUGAUACUGCCUCUGGUCAGCUGAUUUCUCCUUGCCUCAUUCCAACUUCUUUUGUCAGAAAAUUCUUCAAGAUUGCCACAUUCUUUCACAAUAAUAUGAAAAUGGAAGAGGAAUGAAUACUUUCCAACUCAUUUUUAAAGGACUACCUUUCCGUAACACCAAAACCAGAUGAAGAUAUCACAAGAAAAAAAAGCUACUGACCAAUAUCCCUCAUGAACAUAGAAGCAAAUAUUUUUAAGUAAAUUUUAGUAAUACGGUUCAACAACAUGUUAAAAAAUACAUCAUAAUUGAGUUUUAUCCAGGAAAUGAAAAUUCAGUCUGAAAAUCAAUGCAUGUAGCUCCCCAUAUUAACAAAGAAUAUUUGUGAAUUGUGCAAGAAGAAUACACUAUGUGGAUUAUUUCUAAAAUCAAAUGUUUGAAAUUAAGGGUGAGUUCUGAGCAUAGAAAGCAGCCUGAAGCCCCAGGAUUCAGGUCCCCAGAUUACGAAGGACUGGACAGGAUUCACUCCUGUUCACAAGAAAAGCAGAACCAAGAAGAGAGUUAAUAAAAGGAAUGGUUCACACGAUUAUGAUGGAUUAAAAAGUCCCCAAAUCUGUAGUCUGCA